UCUCUCAAGAAAAAGCAGCAUCCCCCCUCCUUGACCCCUGUGGUUCCCCCACUGGAAAAAAAGUUGCAGAGCGUAACCCCAGUGCAGACCUCACAGCCUGUGCCCCUCAAAGUCCCGCUGGAGGACCCGAGCCCAGACAGGGCCCGCCAGGCCACUGGCCCCAAUCCAGUCGUCUUUCCGGCUGGGGGUCCCAGGACUGUUCGGGUAGCCACACAGGUGUGACCAGGGCCCGCUGUGCACAGGAUUUUUUUGGUAGGACCUCCUGUUUCACCCCGACCCUGUCCUGCUGUGACUGAAGAUCCCCCCCCCCCCAAAUGUGAGACUCCCUGCCUCCCUCUGUCAGCGCAGAAGACUACUUGAAUUUGUGCAGCUAAGGAGCUGUGGCUUCUGGGCUCGGAGAGACUACUACUGAUCUAUCUGUGGGGUUUGCACAGCUUCCCGGUGGGCAGGACCUACAGGCCCGGUGGUGGGCAGGCUGUCCUGUGCUGCUCCGAGCCCCGAAGGGGGCCCAGUCUCAUUCUCUCAGAAAGGUUUCCUACAUCCGCUCCUCUCCUCCAGGCCAUACCCCAUCCAGCUCCCAGGGUCUUUAUCCUGACAUAGCUCAGACCACGUCCUCUCCUCUUUAAACCCUUCUGGGGGUGCCCAUUGCCCUUCAGAUAUGGUCCCGACUCCUCACUGUGAUUUUCAGAACCUUGUGGUUUGGCUUCUUUUCACUUCUGACCUCCCCUUCCUGUGCUUCACCCCUGCUAUUAACAGCAGGCUUUCUGUGCACCUGCUCUAAGCCCCAGAGUUUGCUUUGCCUGGAACACCACCCUUUGCCCCAGGUCAUUCACUUCUCAAGUGUGAUGGUAACUGAGCGGCAGUGAUUUAUAGGAAAUAUAUAUUGGGUCAUUCGGAUGACCAAAAUAUGUUUCUCAGACAGCUUUCACCUCGGUCCACAGUUCUUGAAGACGAUUCAGAGCCACAAAGGCCAAAUUGGGGUCUUGGUAUUAAUGAAGGUGACUUUUGGACCCCACCCAAAGGCGGGGCUGGUGGCCGGAGGACCAAACCUGUGAUUAGAGGACUGACCCCUCCAUACCCCCUCCCAGGAGUGGGGAGGGAAUGGAGGUUGAAUCCGCCAAUGGCCAGUGACUUAGUCAAUCAUGACGGUAUAAUGAAGCCUCCGUAAACACCCAAGAGGACAGCUCUUGGUCCAUUUCCGGAGAGCUUCCGCAGUGCGGGACCGGGAAUGCCCCCCUGUACCGCUGAGGCGGGCCCCGAGCUCCACAAGGACAGAAACUCCUUUGUUGGGGAGCUUGCCCUGUGUUAUCUCUUCAUCUGGUUGUUGAUUCAUAUCCUUUCUCGUAUCAUUUUAAUAAACUGGUAAAUAUAA